GACGAACGCUGGCGGCGUGCUUAACACAUGCAAGCCGAGCGGAAAGGCCACUUCGGUGGUACUCGAGCGGCGCACGGGUGAGUAACACGUGAGUAAUCUGCCCCUGGCUUUGGGAUAGCCACCGGAAACGGUGAUUAAUACCGGAUAUGACACAUUCUCGCAUGAGUUUGUGUGGAAAGUUUUUCGGCCAGGGAUGUGCUCGCGGCCUAUCAGCUUGAUGGUGAGGUAAUGGCUCACCAUGGCUUCGACGGGUAGCCGGCCUGAGAGGGUGACCGGUCACACUGGGACUGAGACACGGCCCAGACUCCUACGGGAGGCAGCAGUGGGGAAUAUUGGACAAUGGGCGGAAGCCUGAUCCAGCAACGCCGCGUGAGGGAUGACGGCCUUCGGGUUGUAAACCUCUUUCAGUACCGACGAAGCGCAAGUGACGGUAGGUACAGAAGAAGCACCGGCCAACUACGUG
rnacentral:rRNA from 1 species